rnacentral:rRNA from 1 species
UCGCCUGUUUAUCAAAAACAUGUCCUUUUGAUAAUAAUUUAAGGUNUAGUCUGCCCACUGAAGAUUUAAAUNNNNNNNNNUAUUUUGACCGUGCAAAGGUAGCAUAAUCAUUAGUUUUUUAAUUGAAAGCUGGAAUGAAAGGCUGCAUGAGAAAAAAGCUGUNUNUAUUAAAUUUAAUUAGAAUUUUAUUUUUAAGUUAAAAAGCUUAAAUAUUUUUAAAAGACGAGAAGACCCUAUAGAGUUUAAUAGUUAAUUAAAUUUUAAUAUUUUGGUAUUAAUAAUUAAAAUUGNAAUUAAUCUAUUUGGNNGGGGNGAUUANAAAAUUAAAUUAACUUUUCUUUUUUACUACNUAUAUUUAUGAAUAUUUGAUCCAUAUUUAGUGAUUGAAANAUAAAAUUACCUUAGGGAUAACAGCGUAAUUCUUCUUGAGAGUUCAAAUCGAAAGANGAACUUGCNACCUCNAUGUUGGAUUAAAAUUUAUUUCAGGNGNANAGGCUUGGAAAUUUAGGUCUGUUCNACCUUUAAAAUUUUACUUGAUCUGAGUUCAAACCGGAGA